UACGUAGGGGGCAAGCGUUGUCCGGAUUUACUGGGCGUAAAGGGCGCGUAGGCGGCGUGGUAAGUCAGCUGUGAAAUCUCCGAGCUUAACUCGGAACGGUCAGCUGAUACUGCUGUGCUAGAGUACAGAAAGGGCAAUCGGAAUUCUUGGUGUAGCGGUGAAAUGCGUAGAUAUCAAGAGGAACACCUGAGGCGAAGGCGGGUUGCUAGGCUGAUACUGACGCUGAGGCGCGAAAGCGUGGGGAGCAAACAGG
rnacentral:rRNA from 1 species